UUCUUGAUCUUCCUCAAUUCUCAAAUUUCCUAAAUAAACUGUCAUUCUAGAUAUUUUUUAUUAUUGUAUUUCCCUUAUAUAUUUUUAAUAUUUUCCGUUCACUCCCCCUCAGUUGAGUUGUCCCAUAUCGAAGGAAUUUAAGUUUCUUGAUUUCCUUAUAUGACUUAGGCAAUCCUUACAAGCUAGAUUUUGGGGUUGAGUUAGACCCAACCCAUUCUUAUCACCCUCCCCUAUUCUUUUUUUCUUCUUCUUUAUUUUUCUUUUCAUUCUUCGUUCCUAGUGUUACUCCAAACAAUCCAAGGCUUUACUCCUCUUCUUACCUAAAAGUCUCCAUCUUCUUCACUUAUUUUUCACAGAACUUCCAAAAAGUUGCUUCUUUCUAUUUUAGUUUUUUAAUUAUUCAUCCUAUAAAUUGAAAAAUUGUAAAUCAUCAAAAGAAAAAAAGAUAAUUCAAGUACCAGAGAAGGACAGAGCCCAAAAUAAGGAAAAACGUAGUGUACAAACAUGGGAAUAUUCAAGAUAAGGUUUUUUUUCUUUGCUUUAUACCUUUCACAUAAUUAAACUUCGAAUAAAAAUUAUCCAACUAAACACUUCAAACUUAUGAAAUUGUAUUGUAAGAAUACUUCAAAGAGAAGUUAGAAAGAAAAACGAUUCAUCAUAUCUGAAUGCCACCAAAUUUAUAGGACCUCAUCUCUAAAUUAUCUU
rnacentral:lncRNA from 1 species